rnacentral:rRNA from 1 species
UACGUAGGGUGCAAGCGUUGUCCGGAAUUAUUGGGCGUAAAGAGCUCGUAGGCGGUCUGUCGCGUCUGGUGUGAAAAUCCAGGGCUUAACCCUGGACCUGCAUCGGGUACGGGCAGACUAGAGUGCGGUAGGGGAGAUCGGAAUUCCUGGUGUAGCGGUGAAAUGCGCAGAUAUCAGGAGGAACACCGGUGGCGAAGGCGGAUCUCUGGGCCGUAACUGACGCUGAGGCGCGAAAGCGUGGGGAGCAAACAGG